rnacentral:tRNA from 1 species
GAUGAGGUGGCUGAAUGGUGAAGGAGAUGUACUGCUAAUCCACUGUGUUCUGCAUGUGUGGGUUUGAAUCCCACCCUCAGUG